GCGUAACGCGUAUACAAUCUACCUUUUACAGGGGCAUAGCCCGGGGAAACCCGGAUUAAUAUCCCAUGGUAUCAUUUAGUGGCAUCACUUGAAUGAUUAAAGUUUCGGCGGUAAAAGAUGAGUAUGCGUCCUAUUAGCUAGAUGGUAAGGUAACGGCUUACCAUGGCUACGAUAGGUAGGGGUCCUGAGAGGGAGAUCCCCCACACUGGUACUGAGACACGGACCAGACUCCUACGGGAGGCAGCAGUGAGGAAUAUUGGACAAUGGGCGAGAGCCUGAUCCAGCCAUGCCGCGUGCAGGAAGACUGCCCUAUGGGUUGUAAACUGCUUUUAUACGGGAAGAAACACCUCUACGUGUAGAGGCUUGACGGUACCGUAUGAAUAAGGAUCGGCUAACUCCGUGCCAGCAGCCGCGGUAAUACGGAGGAUCCAAGCGUUAUCCGGAAUCAUUGGGUUUAAAGGGUCCGUAGGCGGGUGCGUAAGUCAGUGGUGAAAGUCUGCAGCUUAACUGUAGAACUGCCAUUGAUACUGCAUACCUUGAGUAAUUAUGAAGUGGUUAGAAUAUGUAGUGUAGCGGUGAAAUGCAUAGAUAUUACAUAGAAUACCGAUUGCGAAGGCAGAUCACUAAUAAUUUACUGACGCUGAUGGACGAAAGCGUAGGUAGCGAACAGGAUUAGAUACCCUGGUAGUCUACGCCGUAAACGAUGGUUACUAGCUGUUUGGCUCAAUUGANGGACUGAGUGNUAANCGAAAGUGAUAAGUAACCCACCUGGGGGAGUACGUUCGCAAGAAUGAAACUCAAAGGAAUUGACGGGGGCCCGCACAAGCGGUGGAGCAUGUG
rnacentral:rRNA from 1 species